rnacentral:rRNA from 1 species
AAUAUUGCAUAAUGGGGGAAACCCUGAUGCAGCGACGCCGCGUGAGCGAAGAAGGCCUUCGGGACGUAAAGCUCAGUCCUAAGGGAAGAAACGGAAGGUACCGUAGGAGGAAGCGCCGGCCAACUACGCGCCAGCAGCCGCGGUAAUACGUAGGGGGCAAGCGUUGUCCGGAAUUAUUGGGCGUAAAGGGUGGGUAGGGGGCCUUUUAAGGCAGAUGUGAAAGCCCACGGCUUAACCGUGGGACUGCAUUUGAAACUGGAGGGCUUGGGUAUCGGAGAGGGUAGUGGAAUUCCCGGUGUAGCGGUGGAAUGCGUAGAUAUCGGGAAGAACACCCGUGACGAAGGCGGCCAGCUGGGCCGGAUCCGACGCUGAGGCGCGAAAGCGUGGGGAGCAAAC